rnacentral:rRNA from 1 species
AAAACAACUCUCGGCAACGGAUAUCUCGGCUCUCGCAUCGAUGAAGAACGUAGCGAACUGCGAUACGUGGUGUGAAUUGCAGAAUCCCGUGAACCAUCGAGUCUUUGAACGCAAGUUGCGCCCAAAGCCAUUAGGCCGAGGGCACGUCUGCCUGGGCGUCACG